GAGCAUCUCUGAUCAGGCUGUCUGCCCACCCUGCCACCGCCACCAUGAAGGUCUUCCCAAUCCUUGUCGUGGCUGGACUCCUGUGUGCCCUCGCCUCAGCCCAAAACACCACGACGACUACAGCCGCCACCACCACGACAGGAGCCCCCACUACCACCACCACCGGAGCCUCCACCACUACCACCGGAGGCUCCUCCACCACGAAGGACAAAGAUAGUCUGCUAUUUGCUCUCUUCAAGUUUUUAUUACGUGGCUAAAGAGCAGCGAUGCAGCAUGGAGACGGCCCGGCCCGGAGCUCCCUAACCCUCCCCAUCACCCACCCUCCGCUAGUCAAUGAAUAAAGUA